rnacentral:rRNA from 1 species
CCCUUAGAUGUUCUGGGCCGCACACGCGCUACACUGAAGGAGGCAGCGUGUACUCCUGGAUCGAAAGAUUUGGGUAACCCGCGAAUCUCCUUCGUGCUAGGGAUUGAGGUUUGCAAUUAUCCUUCAUGAACGAGGAAUUCCCAGUAAGUGCAAGUCAUAAGCUUGCGCUGACUACGUCCCUGCCCUUUGUACACACCGCCCGUCGCUACUACCGAUUGAAUGAUUUAGUGAGGACUUCGGACUGGGACCGAUGCGGCUUUCGGGCUGCGUCGGUAUUCUGGAAAGAUGUUCAAACUGUAUCAUUUAGAGGAAGUAAAANUCGUAACA